UCCAACUGACUAGUCCAAGAAUCCUAAUAUCCAUAAAUAAAAUCAAAGAUAGAAAAAGAACAGGGUGUGAGGAUAAUAAUGUUGAUAACAGUCAGAGAAGUUGCUACUUCUUCUUCUUCUUCUCUGCUCUUCAAUUCUCUCAUUUCUACUAAUAAUAAUAAUUCCAAGCAGCUACACUCUCUAAAGGUAAAUAGGUCCACUCCAAUUUGUAAAGCCAGCAGCCUCAGUUUUAAUAGAAAAAACACUAAUACCACUGCCCCAACAUGGAAUCUUGGCCUUCUUCACUCCACAAAUAGGUACAAAUUCUUGAAAUUAAAAUAUACCUUUUUGUUCUUUUUGCUCUUAUAUGCUUUGAAUUUUACUCAAUUUUGAUAAAUAUGUCAAUUUGAUUAAAUAUGUUUUGAAGAUAAAGAUUGGAACUUUCUCACUGUUUGUUGUAAUGGGUCUUGUUUAAAACUUCUAAUUUAUUGAAAAGAUAUGUUGUGAAGAUAAAGAAUUGAACUUUCUCAUUGUUUAUUGUAACGGGUACCUUUGCUGGUGGGAGGUAUAUCAAUAGAAUUAAUGUAGUUUCGUGUAAGCAACUGUUAUAGAAAAAGACUUUUAAUUGUUUACUUACUUUAUCUGGGGUUAUAGUAUUUACUUUCAUUUAAUUCAUUUGUUUUUUGGAAAAAAGUCUUGAACUUUCCGAUUGUUUAUUGUGAUAAUUCCUGUUUCGAGCUUCUAAUUUCGUCAAAUUUAAGACUUCUGUGUUGCUUUUUCUUUCUGGGAUUGUAAUAUCUACUUUCAUGUUGAGUUUGAAAUACUGUCUUGGAUUAGUUUUUCCUGAAAAAUUCUCAAAACUAGUUCUGGACAAUUGUGAAAUGGUGCUAUUGCUAGGAUGGAGCUUUUAAGGCUUUUUGCAGUUGUUAGUUCACAGAUAUGUAUAGUGUAGUCUUGUCCCAUAUUGGAAGAGGAGUGAUAUCUCCUUGUAGUGUAUAGCUAUAAAUAGGGACCUCUUGUAUUGUAUUUAUCAUCUAAUAUCAAUAACAUAUUUUCUCCCGUGCCUUCUCACAUGGUAUCAGAGCAUUAGUGAGAAACUCGUCGCUGUGCAUCAUUCCAGCGACAUCCGGGAAGAAAGACCUCUUCGCCGUGCAAUUUUCCGGCGACUUAGAAGGUUGUCCGUAAGCAAAUCACUUUCUGUUUGUGUUGUGCAAAAACAAACACCACCACAAGACUCCUCAGGCUCCGGCGACCAAACCCCAGUCAACCCCACCGGAAAACACACGUCCACGCGCCCUCACGCGCCUGGAAAAGAAAAGAAAAAUUCCGGCGAGAUCGGACCCACGCGCCGGCGCGUGAGCACUGUUCUGGCCAGAUUUUGAAAAAGUUUCAGUUGAACAGUAGGAUCGCCUGUUAAUUCCGAUCCUACCCUCACUGGUUUUGUUUCAUUCCGACCACUUUGAGUUUUUUCGUCAGUUACAGUAGAUUCCGGCGUGAACAGUGUUUCCGGCACAGAAACGGUGUUCUGCUUUCCUGCUGUAAACAGUGUUUUUCAAGCUAUUUCUUCAGUUUUCUCACCGGAUUUACUUAUUUCCACUAUUUCAAGUUAACCCUACUACUACAUCUCGUAGCGACAUGGGAACCGAUGCUUUGAAUAGUCGGAUGGUUUCUUUAGCAGAUUAUAUUGAGUUUAUUCAGUACAAAGCAUGUAAGCAGACAUCUUCUGAGAUAACUUCUAUUGUUCAAACAGGUAAUAACGUGACUUGUUUCUCCCAAUCUUCAUCCUCUGAGUCUUGGGUCAUUGAUUCAGGUGCAUCAGAUCAUAUUUGUGGUAACAAAUCUCUUUUCACUACUAUUUUGUAUUCUCAAUCUCUUCCAAAAGUCACAAUGGCCAAUGGGUCUCAAACCAUGACAACUGCAAUAGGUCAAGCAAGCCCACUUCCUUCCUUACCUUUGGAUUCAUUCCUUUAUGUUUCCAAUAGUCAUUUUAAUCUCAUAGCUGUUAGUCGUUCAGCCAAAUCACUUAUAUGCGAUGUUUUUAUACAGGAACGUAGUACAGGGCGGAUCAUUGGUACCGGGCGUGAAUCAAACGGACUUUAUUACCUUAUCCUUGC
rnacentral:lncRNA from 1 species